rnacentral:rRNA from 1 species
AUUGAACGCUGGCGGCAGGCUUAACACAUGCAAGUCGAGCGGGGUGAUGGUGCUUGCACUAUCACUUAGCGGCGGACGGGUGAGUAAUGCUUAGGAAUCUGCCUAUUAGUGGGGGACAACAUCUCGAAAGGGAUGCUAAUACCGCAUACGUCCUACGGGAGAAAGCAGGGGAUCACUUGUGACCUUGCGCUAAUAGAUGAGCCUAAGUCGGAUUAGCUAGUUGGUGGGGUAAAGGCCUACCAAGGCGACGAUCUGUAGCGGGUCUGAGAGGAUGAUCCGCCACACUGGGACUGAGACACGGCCCAGACUCCUACGGGAGGCAGCAGUGGGGAAUGUUGGACAAUGGGGGGAACCCUGAUCCAGCCAUGCCGCGUGUGUGAAGAAGGCCUUAUGGUUGUAAAGCACUUUAAGCGAGGAGGAGGCUCUUUUGGUUAAUACCAAAGAUGAGUGGACGUUACUCGCAGAAUAAGCACCGGCUAACUCUGUGCCAGCAGCCGCGAAAA